rnacentral:rRNA from 1 species
CCUACGGGAGGCAGCAGUGGGGAAUUUUGGACAAUGGGCGCAAGCCUGAUCCAGCCAUGCCGCGUGCGGGAAGAAGGCCUUCGGGUUGUAAACCGCUUUUGUCAGGGAAGAAAUCCUUUGAGCUAAUACCUCGGGGGGAUGACGGUACCUGAAGAAUAAGCACCGGCUAACUACGUGCCAGCAGCCGCGGUAAUACGUAGGGUGCAAGCGUUAAUCGGAAUUACUGGGCGUAAAGCGUGCGCAGGCGGUUAUGUAAGACAGGUGUGAAAUCCCCGGGCUUAACCUGGGAACUGCACUUGUGACUGCAUAGCUUGAGUGCGGCAGAGGGGGAUGGAAUUCCGCGUGUAGCAGUGAAAUGCGUAGAUAUGCGGAGGAACACCGAUGGCGAAGGCAAUCCCCUGGGCCUGCACUGACGCUCAUGCACGAAAGCGUGGGGAGCAAACAGGAUUAGAUACCCUGGUAGUCCACGCCCUAAACGAUGUCAACUGGUUGUUGGACGGCUUGCUGUUCAGUAACGUAGCUAACGCGUGAAGUUGACCGCCUGGGGGAGGUACGGCCGCGAGGUAGAACGUACGAAGAAGUUAGACGGCGUGAGACGUAGACCGACGGACGACGACGAGGGAGGAGG